rnacentral:lncRNA from 13 species
UGAUUUGGUAGAGCAUUGAGAAGCAUUGCCUUCCAUAGACACUGGAGUGGAGAUGAUUUGGUAGAGCAUUGAGAAGCAUUGCCUUCCAUAGACACUGGAGUGGAGAUGAUUUGGUAGAGCAUUGAGAAGCAUUGCCUUCCAUAGACACUGGAGUGGAGAUGAUUUGGUAGAGCAUUGAGAAGCAUUGCCUUCCAUAGACACUGGAGUGGAGAUGAUUUGUGCAAUGAGGAGGAGUGUAAAUGAAAACAUUCAUCAGCCACUUUUCCUCAUUUCAGUGAAGAUCACUGUGGCAACAGGAGACAAAUGCUGCUGUGUUAUACCAGUAUGAUGGUCUGGAUGGAAUGGCUGCUGAUGCCUUAAGCUUGAGGACCUAAGCUAAUCAAUGUCUCUUUGUCUCAGUUGAAACCAUGUGAAAGGACACAGCAACCUCCACACAGAAUCCCUUUCCCUUUGUAAAUAUUGAACAAAUACUUCACAAGACAGGUUGAUUAAAUAUCUAUGGUGCGUGUGGGUUUGUGCUAUAAUGAUGUGUUUGAAUGGAAUCAAUAAACCAAGAGAGAGGUAACACAACAAAAGCCAAGACAACCGGGGCACUAAGACACAGCAGAGAGAGUGGCUCUGGUCCUAUACCUCUGCCUCACUCUCCAGCUCUGCAGUCACUGUGUGUGAGUGUUGAAGACAGAGGGAGAGAGUGAGCCUGUGUGUGUGUAUGUGUGCAUGCGCGGUUUACAUCAGCAAGAGGAGGGAGACACCAUUUACUCUGUCUCUUUUUUUCUCUUUCAUCUCCAUAACUCUAUCACUCUGAAAACAGAUACAGCCAUCCAGAAAAUAACAGAAGGAAGAGGCAAAGGCAGAGGAGGGGAAGUGGAGCAUUCUGAUAAAGAAGGGGAGUGCCUCAACAUCAGUCAGCAUCAUACACAAUACAUGCUGCUGACUGAUGUCUACCAUGCAACCCAGAACUGGGAACUAACCAGCCAGCUUUACAUUCUCAAAAGCAGGACAGACAGCAGGCUACAGCAUCACAAAACCUGCCCAAAACCAGGAAAAGGCCUGCAUUGCUGAGGAGGUUGAGGGGAGUUGACUUUUCAAAGGGUGACGCAGGAUCUCACCCCCUGUCUAUAGAGCUGCUGCUGUCUGACCUCCUCCCAGACUGGGCCUCUGGUUCCUGGCCCCGCCCCAGGCUGUGAAGGAUGGGUGAUGGGCCUGUGAUUGACACCUCCCGC